AAAAGUAGGCCCUAAUCUUUACCACGUGGGCUAGGCCCCAACUUCCUUAAUAAGAUGCCUAUAGCAUAAGAAUUAAAACCAAGAAUCAAUAAAUGGGAUGGAUUCAAACUAAAAAGUUUUUUCUCAGGAAAAGAAACAAUCUGUGAGGUGAACAGAGAGCCUACAUCCUGAAUGUAGAUUUUUACCCCUCACACAUCAGAUAGAGCACUAAUCUCUAGGGUAUAUAAAGAACUCAACAAGCUAAGCACCAAAAAAAACAAACAAACAAAUAAUCCAAUCAAUAAAUGAGCCAAGGACCUAAACAGACACUUCUCAGAAGAGGAUAUACAAUCAAUCAACAAAUAUAUGAAAAAAUGCUCAUCAUCUCUAGCAAUUAGAGAAAUGCAAAUCAAAACUACUCUAAGAUACCAUCUCACUCCAGUCAGAAUGGCAGCUAUUAUGAAGACAAACAACAAGUGUUGGCGAGGAAGUGGGGAAAAAGGUACACUCAUACAUUGCUGGUGGGACUGCAAAUUGGUUCAGCCAAUUUGGAAAGCAGUAUGGAGAUUCCUUGGAAAUCUGGGAAUGGAACCACCAUUUGACCCAGCUAUUCCUCUUCUCGGACUAUACCCAAAGGACCUAAAAGCAGCAUACUACAGGGACACAGCCACAUUAAUGUUUACAGCAGCACAAUUCAUAAUAAGUAAACUGUGGAGCCAACAUAGAUGUCCUUCAGUGGAUGAAUGGAUAAAAAAAAUGUGGCAUUUAUACACAAUGGAAUAUUAUUCACCAAUAAAAAGCACAAAAUCAUGGCAUUUUUAAGUAAAUGGAUGGAGUUGGAGAAGAUAAUGCUAAGUGAAGUUAGCCAAUCCCAAAAAAUCAAAUGCUGAAUGUUUUCUCUGAUAUAAGGGGGGUGACUCAAAGUGGGGUAGGGAGGGA
rnacentral:lncRNA from 1 species